rnacentral:lncRNA from 1 species
CUCAGAUCACUCACAUGGGGGAAGCCAGCUGCUACGUCAUAAGGACACUCAAGAAGCCCUAUAGAAGAGCUCACAUGGUAAAGAAAUGAGGCCUUCUGCCAACAGCCAGUGAGGAACUAAGCCCUGCUGGCAGCUGCCAGAUGAGCAAGCCAUCUUGGAAGAAGACCCCCAGACUGUUAAGCCUUCAGAUAACUGCAGCCCCAGCUGACACAAGAAACCAGAGUCAGAAUCACUCAGCAAGGCAUUCCUGAAUUUCUGACCCACAGAAAUUCUAAUCAGCUUCCUUCAAAUUGGAUUUCGUAGUGAUAUGGAUCUGUUCACAGUCUUAUGGAGGCUGAUGCUGGCAUUUGAAUGCAGUUCCUCGAGGCUUUCCGAUGAGCUAAGCAUUUUCAAAUAAAUCAUUGGUGGAAUGGAGUCAACGUCCCCACCUCAAAAGGAACCCAACAGGCAACUGGAUUCUGAUGUCAGAUUCCAACCAACUAACAAAGAUGAGAAAGGUGACCCAUACGGUGGAGAAGGCUUAUCAUGUGACAACUGCUUUGUCCUCAAGAGACAACUCUGCCUUUCCAUCAGAACCCUUCUUUACACAAGACCCAAGGUUGGCCUUGCAGAAAUUGCUAGAGAAUAAUAAUAAUAAAUAUGAUUACUGUUA